UUGGUUGCAUUUUUCUCGUUUUUAAUAUCUACUCGUUUUGCUUAAUUUAUUUGUUGUUUUUGUUUUCACUGUUGGAUCGUUCAGUACAACAUUUAAGCUAAAGAGUAAAACGAUAUGAUGAUUUCGGAUAAGUAAACUAGACCUGGCAAGCGACUUUGAUUCCUUUAAAUAAUGGUGGGGGUGUUUUGGACGUUUGUUCCGAUUGAAUUUUGGAAUUUUUAACGUGAAUAGCGUCACCGCUAGAUGGUGGAUAGCUCGACUGGAAUUUGGGGGGAAGGGCGAAGGGGCAUGAAAGGUUCGUGUUCGUUUGCUUUCUGCUUGAUGGAAAUCUUGUAGUACUUGAAACAUGAGUGAUUGAGUGAGGCAAAGGCAAGCCAGUUAUUUUAUACUUUUCUGAGAAAAUCGUGAAUAGCUAAAUGUGCAUUGUGACAGAUUCUGUAGAAGAUAGAGUGGCUGUCUCUGGCUGUCAAGAUGGACCUUGAUUUACAGUAAAUUGGUGUAAAGAACAGGAGGAGAAACAAUGGAGAUCACACUUGAAUGAAAAGGAAUUACUUCAGGCUUCCAAAUGUGUUGAACAUGAUUUAUAGUUUGUGACCUUGAACACAUUCACUUUUGAAAAUUGGCGGAAUUCAACCUCAACAAUAAAGUAUGGGAAGUUGUUGCCAAGGAGAAAAUUGAACUCAAGUUCCUGUCGAUAAGUUCAACUCCCCUGGUAGUCAAAUCAAUGCUGCCAAGCAAAAUGGAGCCCGAGGAGCUCCAUACAAUUUUGGAACCUGAUAUGGGCAGUUCCCUUUGCAGAGGCAAUAACAGAAACAGAAUUCUCUGAAAUGGAUGUCUUAUCAAACUGGUAUUAGAGAAUACAGUCUCUCACUAGUUAACUGUAUAGCUCAACGCCCAGGCGAAUGGAUACUAGCCUAAACAUUGCAAUUCCGCCACGUUAUCGCCCUUUUUCGCCUACUAGAAGAUGAAGACAAUUCCGAUACAGACACUGCCUUAUCUCUCAGACCGAGUCCGCCGCUAAGGCAGCGAAUCGUUGGCGACUGUCGAGUCCCAUUCGUUCACUUCGGGGCGUGGAGCAGCGAUUGAGGCUUUUGUGGAGCGAGUAUGUGUUUCAGGUGGUUAAUGUGCACUUCAACAAUAUUGGGGUGACGUUUGCUCAAGCAGCAACACUCCCAGCUCUCAACAGCCAGGAGCGCCGGAUAGCGGAGGCUGGUUAUCGUCUCUGGCUCUCGACCGUUGUGGAAAGUGUCACCAGUUUCUCUUUUCCCGCACGGAAUCGAUUCUUCUGAUUGGGUCGAUCUACUACGCAACAACGACCAACAACAUCAGUAGCCUGUAGUAACGUUAGAAAACUUCCAGGAACUCCACCCAGACCUGAACCUUUGGCUGUUUCCGAUUGGUAGACCACGCAAUCUCCAGCCACUUUGGAGAUUUUUCUCGCGUGUCGGACAUGUCAUGGGAGAAGGAACUACUUUCUCCGAGGCACCUGGUAGAGAAAUUUCGUACUACCUCAUGCAAACUCAUUUCCUCUGUCGUCUGCUAUCUUCAAGCGUGGCCGUGGCUUUCAAGUUUCAACAUGGUGGUACGAUCACUCUCGUUCGUGUUCUUUUGUGGAUAUUAAAAAUGCUUCCUCAUACUGAUGUUUUGGUUUUGGAGUGGUGGUGUCGUGGAGAUCUUGUUGCCUGAUCUUGUCUUGGAUCAUUUUGGUCACAUUUUCCCAGGAAACUGGAUCGGGAAUAUGGAGGGCCUAAAGAAAGCAUCCAGGUGAGCCAAAUUGGCAUGACUCCUGAUUGAUGGUCUGCAGAUGAGCGGCAACUUUGUCCCGUUGGAUGUUGGCUGGUUGCCAUGAUUGAAGCCGAAGUCUAGUGGCAGUUUUUGGACGCCGCCCAUGGAAAGAAGAAUUCUUCCUUUACCAAUUUCAUGGCACUAUACUUGGAUUUUAGCAUUGCCUACAUUCAAGCAGUGUCCUCAACAUCGGCUGCGUUGACUGAAUGGGUGUGGUUGACCGCCAUGUUUUGUAGUCGAAUGGCAUCGUCCGUUUGUACCUGAUGUCAGUGAGGUUCCACGACGAGAAAGAGACGCCGAUUAAAUGAGUGUUGCUAUGCAGGAGGCGGGGACGUAUUUCAUCCGGAAAAGGGCACCGGGAGUUUGAACCUGUUCCAGUCAAGUGCCACGACGAGAAGCCAUGCAACUCCGAUGAAAGAUUAGCAGUUGCUAUUUUCCCUUUGUUUUUAUCAUUUUGAUUGCCGAUUGUCGACUGGUUGUCGACUCUACUGCUGACGCCUGUCUUUUUGGGUCCAUCGAAGCCUUUCAGCACUUUUUAAAGGCGGACGUUUGUUUUUUAAUUUGUUUCUCAGAUUAUUUUCUUAAACCCGCCCGUGGUAUGGAAUUGGCAUGGCCUCUCUCUGUUCUAAUUUUUGACUCUUUAUCAAUGUCGUUGACUGGUGUUGGUUAAUAAGAUUAAGGCUUGCCCUUUUGGGAUAAGUA
rnacentral:lncRNA from 1 species